GCUGCAGCGGCAGAGGUGGGUGCAGCGCCGUUGUUGCCGUGUUGUGGAUAAGGCACACGCACAGGCAUUGAAGGCCCAGUGGAGCUGAGGAAGCUCUUCAGAUUUCCAAGGUUAGCUUUCUAAAAACUUAUCACUAUCUCUCCAGAUUUGGUACCAAUUGACACCGCAUAAUGCUUUGCUUGAGAUUGAUUGUGGUGCAUUUUUCUCUUGGCGUGGACUACAAUUAGGAUUCAAACUGAUGUCUAAUUAUUGUGGAACUAUCACUGUAGGAGGUGAUUAGUGAAGGUAAUCAACCUUUGUUGGCGAGGACGUCCAUUGUUUAAGGAACAUAGACCUCUAAAUUAUGUAUUCUGUGAAAUUCUGGUACUUCCCUCUUCUCGAAAAAGUCACACAUUAGCAGCAAGCCAUGAAGUUCGCCAAGGAGUACCCGAAGCAUAUGAUCAAGAAAUGCCAUGCUACGCCCUGUUCCCCACAGGGCCUUGGCGACGAGAGAGACGUCGCCAUCCCAGGAGGUAACCAGUGCUCUGGGGCUAGCCAUUGCUAUGGUAAAUAGUUCUGUUAACCUGUUCUUUGUUCGUCUCUUGAGGAUCCUCCAUUUUUCAUUUUCUACUCGGGAUUCUGUCGUCGCUUAGGUGUUGGCACAAGGAGCAGUCAAGAACUUCGUUGAAUAUUUUCCCCUUAUUUUGGACAAUCAAAUCGAGGAUGAAUUCAACCUAAGUGAAUCUUGCCAUUCAGUUCACAUUUCAUUUUGUGUGUU